AUUGAACGCUGGCGGCAGGCCUAACACAUGCAAGUCGAGCGAGCGGCGGACGGGUGAGUAAUGUAUGGGGACUGCCCUAUAGAGGGGGAUAACUACUGGAAACGGUAGCUAAUACCGCAUACUAUCGGAUAACCCAUAUGGGAUUAGCUAGUAGGUGAGGUAAUGGCUCACCUAGGCGACGAUCCCUAGCUGGUCUGAGAGGAUGAUCAGCCACACUGGGACUGAGACACGGCCCAGACGCCUACGGAGGCAGCAGUGGGGAAUGUUGGACAAUGGGGGAAACCCUGAUCCAGCCAUGCCGCGUGUAUGGAGAAGGCCCUAGGGUUGUAAAGUACUGUCAGUCGGGAGGCGGUACCGACAGAGGAAGCACCGGCUAACUCCGUGCCAGCAGCCGCGGUAAUUC
rnacentral:rRNA from 1 species